GCAGCAACGCCGCGUGCGGGAAGAAGGCCUUCGGGUUGUAAACCGCUUUGAGAGGGGAAGAGGCAGGACGGUACCCUCGGAACAAGUCUCGGCUAACUACGUGCCAGCAGCCGCGGUAAAACGUAGGAGGCGAGCGUUAUCCGGAGUUACUGGGUGUAAAGGGCGUGCAGGCGGCUGAGCAAGUCGUAUGUGAAAGCGCUCAGGCUCAACCGGGCGAGGACAUGCGAGACUGCUCAGCUAGAGGCAGGUAGAGGCGCGUGGAAUUCCGGGUGUAGUGGUGAAAUGCGUAGAGAUCCGGAGGAACACCAGUGGCGAAGGCGGCGCGCUGGGCCUGACCUGACGCUGAGGCGCGAAAGCAUGGGAGCGAACGGGAUUAGAAACCCCGGUAGUCCAUGCUGUAAACGAUGCGGACUAUGUGUGGCGACGGGAGUUGCCGUGCCGGAGCGAACGUGGUAAGUCCGCCACCUGGGGAGUACGGCCGCAAGGUUAAAACUCAAAGGAAUUG
rnacentral:rRNA from 1 species